rnacentral:lncRNA from 1 species
UAGAAACCAACAACCUCAGUGACUGAAGGAAGAUGAGUUGGACAAGAAAAAGUGAAAGAGGCACAUCUCAGGAUGGGGCAAUAUUUGGUGAGAACCAUAUUGGAUUCUACCAAAUUACAAAUAUAUUCCAGGUAAGAACUAUGUCCAUUCAACUGCACUUUGAGAUGUUAGAUUUAAUGCAAGGCUAAUGAGGCCAAGCCGUAGGUUUCAUUUUCACAGGAGCCAAUUAACCUUACUACUAUAUCCACAGAUUUUACCCCAAUCCUGGUUUCCCACCUUGAAAAUGAGUGCCAGGGGUCAUAAGGAAGACUGAAAGAGAACAUAGAGAGUUCAGUGCAAAUCUAUUGCCGUUACCAGACAGUAAUUCAACAGCUUCAUCUUUGAACCAUUAGGUGAGCUUCUAUUAGGUGAAGUUCCAUUAGGUAAACAAUUAGGUGCAUUCUAGAUACAGCUAGAAUACAACUAGUCCAGAACUAGCUCUUUUCAAGGAUGUUAUAUGUAAAAAUCUCUUUAGCUUCAAGUGAAACAGGGUUAAGCAGCUGUAAACCGUGAUGAAUACUAGAGAAUUCCUUAAGCAGUGAAGUCUUUCCUUAAAUAAACACCACUCAGCUGGUUGGAGUUAGUAAUUCUGAGAGAAGUAAAGUAUACCUGCUGAUUGUUCUAUGACAUGAAUAAGCCUUGGAGAAGAUCUUGAAAGCACUUGGGAGAGGUUGGAUAAAUUGAUAUAUGCUGACUGUCUUAGUCCAGUCAUCCGGCUAGAACCAAAUCCCAGAGACUGAGGGGCUUAUCAACAACAUACAUUUAUUGCUCACAGUUCUGGAGACUGGGAACUCCAUGAUCAAGGUGCAGGCAGUUUCAAUGUCUGGUGAGGCCCUGGUUCCUGGUCCAUAGAUGGUGUCUUCUAGCUGCAUCAUCACAUGGAAGGGGGAGGAGUCUCUUUCAGGCCUCUUUUAUAAGGGUCCUAAUCUCAUGAUCUAAUUACCUCUCAAAGGUCCCACCUCCUACUACAAUGGCUUUGGGGUAUAAGAUUUCCACAUAAGAAUUUGGGGAGGACACAAACAUUCUGACCAUAGUACAAAUUAUCGCAUUUACCUGGUGACAUCUUAGAGCAGACAAAAAUUUUAAAAAUUCCAUUAGAGAAAAAUGCAUCAUGCUCUUGGGGAAAUUUUUGAAAUGAUACCAAAUAUUUGUCACUGAGAAUCUGCACUGAUAACAUUUACUUUCUGUGUGCUUAUGUGCUUGCUUUUAAGGUUGGCCUGAUCACUCACUCACCACUCCCUGCAACUCCAUGGAGAAGAUAUAAGCUGUCAAAAAUGUAUUUGUGAGUCUGAUGAGCUCUUUCACCCAGGUGACAGGGGUUUCUGCCAUAUUAAUAUUCUUCUUCUUCUCCACCUUUUGUGUUUCAAUGCUGGGCCUGGAGAAGGCAGGGACCUUGGCUCUUCCACGGUGGCUGUUCAUCAGCACUCACACAUCCACCACACCGGUUUAGUCGCACGCUGGAAGGUAAAUGUGUACCAUGGAAGAUAUCGGGCUGUUUUUGUAGCAUCUGGAUUGCCACUGCCCCCUCCCCUCCACUACCCCAAGUCCUCUUUUCUCCUCUUUGGAGAAGACACAGUUCAGGCUAAGAGCUCAUGUUUGAGGCCUCGCUGAGUUGCUGUUUGAUAUUGUUCUUGCUUCUUACCACAUUGGUGGCAUUGAAUGUCCUUAUUGAUUUUUGCCUGAUUGGUCUAACUUAGAACAGGAUCAGCUUCAUAAAUGGGACAUCUUGUGGGCUGAAAUAUGAGAUUUGUUUUAACAAACCACUCCUAACCAUCAUCUCUUUAAGGGAAGCCAGGAAAGGCAAUUGCUGAAUUUCUUCUUGGCCUUCUCUCUGGUUAUCCCUCUCACUCCUCCUACUUUUCCUUUUCUCUUUCAGGCUGCUUUCUCCUACUAGUUACAAAACAAACAAAAAACAAACAAACAAAAAAAACAAAACAAAACAAAAACUAAACUAAACCAAAAACAAUAAAUGCCAAACAAUACUCAAAGAACUACCAAAUUAUUCCCUGGGCCCCUGAAUCAGAUGGAGCUGAAUCAUUCUGGCUGCUAACUGAGUGAAGGGUGUUGGGGAAAAGUGCCAUUGUGUAAGUUAAGGAAAGGGUCAGAGAACCGAAAAGACGGCAGCUGUAUGAAAGGGCUUCUGUGCUGGGAUUCUCCUUUUAAGCUAUCCAAAGGCACAAAUCAAGAACCGCAACCUUGGAGAUAUGACAAAUGAACACAAUUCUGGUUUUUUGUUUUAUUUUAAAGUGAAAUUCCACUGUUUCCCAAGAAUUUGCACAUGAAGCUUUACAUAUUUUUCAUGUCAGCCCCCUUCCUUGCCACCUUUGUUUUCCAGCCUGCCUCCCCUUAACAGCUGGACACAUCACCGUUCCAUUUUUCUAUUAGUUGUGACUGAAGUAGCUUGAGGUCAAUUAUUUCCCCAGCAAUUGACAAAGAAUCUUGAUGAAGAGGAAAGUGACAUUGUCCCUUGAACAACACUGCUCCCUCCUCCCCCUGCCCUCCCGGCUGAGAGGAGAGAGCAGGGCAGACUUUCCUUUUGCAAGGAGCCCAGCAGGGCGGUGGCGGUGGGGUCUGUGGAAGUGCGUGGGUAACAUAUGGUAAGUGGAGAAAAUAUUUAUAUUCAUGGUGAAAGAGCAGGAGAAGAUCCAAAGAAGGUCAUUCCACAGAGAUUUCAAGCAAGAGACACUGACUUGAUAUUGUAUCUUUGACCUGGAUACAACAGAGAAUUUAAAGAAAGAGUUUUCUUUUGUGGCUUUCCUGCCACCGUUACUUCCAACAAUCCGAAUUAUUGGCAAUUUAAAAAAGAAAAGAUUCCGCCCACUAAACUUGAUAAAAGUAUCACACUGGCCCUUCCCCGGGCCCUGGCCAGGCUGCCACGCCUUCUCCCCUCCCCCUGCGCCAGGUCCCCAAAUCCAGAAUUCGGAGCCGCGGUCACUGAGCCUGUGCCUUGGGCCUGCGGGCGGUGUUUGUUGUUGUGACUGGGCGGCUAGGUGAGACGGAGCGCACGGGCAGAGUGCGCAUUUGGGGCGACUGGUUCUUGGGGGAAGAUAUAAAUAAUGAAUCGGUGUUAGAUUAUUUUCUGAUGAGACACAUGAAACCUCCAGUGCUUUCAGCAGGCAUUUUGCAUCACAGCUUCCUAAGAAAGGUAAAAGGCCCUCUUUCGGUCCCCCAGUGGCAAAAUUCGCAGCUGUCGCCCAGCACCACAAUCAAAUGCGUGCGGGGCUGCGGGACAGAGGCGUCCUCGCGUACCCUCGGACAGACCCACAGCUGUCUGGCGGAUACACACGUGCGCGUCUGGUCGACCGGACCAGCAGCUGCUUGCGUCCCCUCUCCCGCGCACGGUGGCGGCCCCGCACCAAGACCCGCUGAGGAAACGAAGAGUAGGGUCAUUUCCCAUCUUGCCGUCGAAAGUUUAUCCCAUUUCCCGGGUGUGCAGGAAGAGAUGGCGCGAGGGCAGGAAGGUGUGAAACUGGGGUUCUGCGGGAGACCCACCGUGGCUCUAUAUUCACUCUCGUUUGAAAACUGCCAGCGUUCCACUCCCCCUAAAUUCCAGUUCCCGAGGGGGAGGUAGUGAGAUGGGAUACAGGUGCGUCUGGGUCCUCGCUUGGGAGGGGUUCUCCCACUUUGGGACCCCUCGUGGAGCAGCCCAUAACCGACCGGCCUGCUGUACAGAGGCCAUGCUUAAUGGAUUCUCGCAGAUAAAAGGGCCUGGCUACCUUUCUUUCCUAUAAUGGCCCCUGAGGCUAAUGUCUUAAAGAGGAAACAAAGGGAUUGUUUUACAGCACACAAGGGGGGUGGCGGGAGGAACAGGGAGAGGAGGAGGAAGGGGCAUUGGAUACGCGGAGCGGGAGGAGGCCUCCCGCUUCUUAACCCUUCACCUCCUGCGACCGCCCAGGUCUCCCGAGCUCCGCACCCUCAUCCAGGACCCGAAACAGCGGGGAGGAGGCGACAGUGCGUGGAGGGCCCCGCCCUGUGACUCGACCUCCAGCUCUCCUCACCUCCUUCCCCGUCUUUUUAAAGAACUUCUGAAAGGGAGAACGGAAAAGAUGAGGGGACCCAUAUCUCGUGAGCUGCAGUUCUGAAAAGUCAGUUCUAGAGGGGUCGUCUCUCGCGAGGCCCGGGUGCCCACACAGGAUCGACGCGUGGCAGUGCCACCUGGGCCCGGACUCUGGGACUGCGGGAGGCGGGAGCGCCUGGGGCCAGGACCUGGGCGUACGCUGAGGGCACCCGGUGAAGGCCGGGGAAAGUGGGGCAGCUCCGAAAUGCGGCCUGCACGUCGCCCUGGGAGUCGUUCCCGG